UACGGAGGGUGCAAGCGUUAUCCGGAUUCACUGGGUUUAAAGGGUGCGUAGGCGGGCAGGUAAGUCCGUGGUGAAAUCUCUGAGCUUAACUCAGAAACUGCCAUGGAUACUAUUUGUCUUGAAUAUUGUGGAGGUAAGCGGAAUAUGUCGUGUAGCGGUGAAAUGCUUAGAUAUGACAUAGAACACCAAUUGCGAAGGCAGCUUACUACACAGUUAUUGACGCUGAGGCACGAAAGCGUGGGGAUCAAACAGG
rnacentral:rRNA from 1 species